GCCGGGAGCUGCUGUGGCUGGAGGAAGAUGAAGGGGAUGGCCCGAGGUGACUUCUGCCUCCUGGCUGAGGGGACAAGGGGACAUGGCCGGGACAAACCCUGCGAGAGCCGCCUCUCUGUGUGGAUUUGAGUCUCCUCAGCGCUCUGGGAAACUGCGGGGGCAUAAAGGCUGGAAAGGGAGGUGCGGGGCCAUCCCCUCCCUCCUCCUCUCCCGGGGCAUCCCUCGGGGCUGUCCUGUGUCCCAGCCGGGCAGGGGGCACAGGGGUGUCCGUGUGUCCCUCCCUGCCUGCGGGGCAACGCGGGGGAUGUCCGCGCAUCCCCGCAGCGCUCCCUGCUCCGCAUCCCAGGGCCACCAUCCCUGCCCUCCGCCAGCCCCUCUGCACAACCCGACGGCCGGAGCCCUAGAAAGGAAAACGAGCGAUAUUCGGGGGCGUUUGGGAAAGUUGCAAGGUCAAGGCUCCCUCCCCCUGCUCACCCCCACCCUGCUCCAGGGGCGGCAUCCAUGGGGAAGGGGGGCUGCCCCCCAAACCCAGCGGGGUUUGCUCCUUUAGGUCGCUUUCCUGAGUUGCUGCCAACCCCCUCCGUGCGAGCUUGUUGCAAGAACAAACUGUUGUGAUUCCCCCUCCGGCCCUUUUUCCCCGCCUCCCCCCAUUCCGAACGGGGGGUGUCAGCGCACGGAGCCCGCCGUACCCCAUGUCGCUCCCGCGUCAGAAAAUGAAUGAUGCAGCAAUUUAAUUAGGAGGGAGCGCUGCGUCCAUAUUGCACCGCUGGAGGAGAGCUCGGCAGCCGGGGGAAGAUGCUGCGCGUCCGCGGGCGCGGAGGCUGCGCCCCUGCCCGCGCAGAGCGGCCCCGGGGCGGCGGGACCCCGCGGAGCCCCCCGCACCUCCCGCCCGCGCCCGCGGCUCUGCCCCCGAACUUUCCGCUCCCGAGCCGCGGUUCCAUUUUGUAAACAUCAACAAAUGAUGAAACCUUCCACGGCAGAGACGCUUCAUAAAGGAAGGAUGUUGUGGAUAAUUCUCCUAAGCACAAUUGCCCUAGCAUGGACUACACCUAUUCCCUUGAUAGAGGACUCGGAGGAACUGGAUGAGCCUUGCUUUGAUCCAUGCUACUGUGAAGUGAAGGAAAGCCUUUUCCAUAUACAUUGUGACAACAAGGGAUUUAUAAAUAUUAGUCAGAUAACAGAGUCGUGGUCGAGACCUUUUAAACUUUAUCUGCAGAGGAAUUCCAUGAGGAAAUUGUACACCAACAGUUUUCUUCACUUGAACAACGCUGUAUCUAUUAACCUUGGGAACAAUGCACUGCAGGACAUUCAGACAGGGGCUUUUAAUGGGCUCCGAGUUCUGAAGAGGUUGUAUUUGCACGAAAACAAAUUGGACAUUUUCAGGAACGACACUUUCCUGGGUUUGGAAAGUCUGGAAUAUCUGCAGGCAGAUUACAAUGUCAUUAAACGGAUUGAAAGCGGGGCAUUUCGAAACCUAAGUAAAUUGAGGGUCCUUAUCCUAAAUGACAAUCUUAUCCCCAUGCUUCCCACCAAUUUAUUUAAGUCCGUGUCCUUAACCCACUUGGACUUGCGGGGGAACCGCCUCAAAGUCCUUUCGUACCGCGGGAUGUUGGACCACAUUGGCAGGAGCCUGAUGGAGAUCCAGCUGGAGGAGAACCCGUGGAACUGUACGUGCGAGAUCGUGCAGCUCAAGAGCUGGCUGGAGCGCAUCCCCUACACCGCUCUGGUGGGGGACAUCACCUGCGAGACCCCCUUCCACUUCCAUGGGAAGGACCUGCGGGAAAUCAAGAGAAGCAAGCUCUGCCCCAUGCUGUCCGACUCCGAGGUGGAAGCCAGCCUGGGCAUCCCUCAGCUGUCCUCCAGCAAGGAGAACGCGUGGCCUACGAAGCCUUCCUCCAUGCUGUCCUCCUUCCAUUUCACCGCUUCCUCUGUUGAGUACAAAACGUCCAACAAGCAGCCCAAGCCCACCAAGCAGCCCAGGGCGCCCCGGCCUCCCCCAACCCCCCGUGGCCUGUACCCCGGGCCCAACCAACCGCCCGUGGCUGCCUACCAGACCCGGCCCCCCAUCCCCAUCAUCUGCCCCACCGGCUGCUCUUGCAGUUUGCACAUCAACGACCUGGGCCUGACGGUCAACUGCAAGGAGCGGGGAUUCCACAACAUCUCCGAGCUCCUGCCCAGGCCCUUGAACGCCAAGAAGCUGUACCUGAGCGGGAAUUUGAUCCAGAAAAUCUACCGCUCCGAUUUCUGGAAUUUUUCUUCCUUGGAUCUCUUACACCUGGGGAACAACCGGAUCUCCUACGUGCAGGACGGGGCGUUCAUCAACCUGCCGAACCUCAAGAGCCUGUACCUGAACGGGAACGACAUCGAGCGGCUCACCCCGGGCAUGUUCCGGGGCCUGCAGAGUUUGCAUUACCUGUACUUCGAGUACAACCUGAUCAGGGAAAUCCAGCCGGCGGCCUUCAGCCUCAUGCCCAACCUGAAGCUCCUCUUCCUCAACGACAACCUGCUCCGCACGCUUCCCACCGACGCCUUCGCCGGCACCUCCCUGGCGCGCCUCAACCUGCGCAACAACCACUUCUUGGCGCUGCCGGUGGCCGGGGUGCUGGAGCACCUGCACGCCAUCGUGCAGAUCGACCUGAAGCUCAACCCCUGGGACUGCACCUGCGAGCUGGUGCCUCUGAAGCAGUGGCUGGAGGCGCUCAGCUCCGUCAGCGUGGUGGGCGAGGUGCUGUGCGCCAGCCCCGAGCCGCUGGCCCGCCGCGACCUGCGCUCGCUGGAGCUGGCCGCGCUGUGCCCCGCCGCCCUGCGCCCCGCCGCCGCCGCCGCCGCCGCCUCGCCCCCCGCCGCCGCCGCCCCUCCGCCGCCCGCCGCCACCGGCGCGGCCGCCUACGAGCUGCCCCCGGGGGCCGCCGCGGCCGCGGCCGUGCCGCUCUCCGUGCUCAUCCUCAGCCUCCUCGUCCUCUUCUUCUCCGCCGUGCUGGUGGCCGCCGGGCUGUUCGCCUUCGUGCUGCGCCGCCGCCGGAGGAAGAUGCCGUUCCGCGGCCCGCGGGCGGAGGCGGCGGACAUGGGCGCGGUGCCGCUGCGCUGCCCGCGCCUCUUCCCCGAGGGCGGCGGCGGCGGCGGCGGCGGAGGAGGGGGCGGGGGGGGACCCGGGGAGCGGUCCCCGGAGAAGGCGCCCCCGGCGGGCCACGUCUACGACUACAUCCCGCACCCGGUGACCCAGAUGUGCAACAACCCCAUCUACAAGCCGCGGGAGGAAGAAGAAGCGGCGGGCGGCGGCGGCGAGGCGGCCGAGCUGCUGCGGGGCGGCGGCGAGCGCGGCUUCGCCCAUCCCGCAGCCCCCGCCGCCGCGCCGGAGCCGGUCAGCAGCUACCGCACCUUGCUGGAGAAGGAGCAGGAGUGGAGCUUGGCCGUGUCCAGCUCGCAGCUCAACACCAUCGUGGCCGUGCACCCCCAGCACCCCGCGGGCGGAGGGCUGGCGGCGGGCGCGCUCGGGGCGGCGGCGGCGGCGGCGGGGGGAGCCCCGCGGGACCGCGACCGCCCGCCGCCCUGCGCCGUGGGCUUCGUGGACUGCCUGUACGGCACCGUGCCCAAGCUGAAGGAACUGCACGUCCACCCCCCCGGCAUGCAAUACCCGGACCUGCAGCAGGACGCCAGGCUGAAGGAGACCCUGCUCUUCGCGGCCGGCAAGGGCUUCCCGGACCACCAAACCCCCACAAGCGAAUACCUCGAGUUAAGGGCCAAACUCCAAACCAAGCCGGAUUACCUCGAAGUCCUGGAGAAGACCACGUACCGGUUCUGACCGCCGCCCCGCUGCCCGCCCGGCCCCGCCGCCCGCGAGCAGAGGAUCCAGCUGUGCGCUCUGCCCCGCCAGAUGUGCGCGCUGCGGGGCAGGGCCCUUCUCAGAUCAGUAAUCGACGAAGUGCCUUCGCAGACUUUUGCCAGCAGAUGUUAAUCGAUCAUUAUUUUUUUAUACUGAAACUGAGACUUUGACUGUGCCAUGUCUAAAGGUGGAAAAGAACAGCAAGGCCAGGUAAGCCCCAGUGCCAGCCAACAACUGCACACAGGGAAAUGGAAAGGAUGAUCCUGGUGCUCAAUUAUUGGUGCUUUUUGUAUUUUCUGGACGUUGUCAUUGAUGUCACCACCACAUUGUACCCUAGUUUAAAAAUUCUUUUGGAAAUGGCUUCAUGGAUCUCUUGAGUGUAUCAACAGUGAUAGAACGAUGUCAAAUGUUAUGGGAUGAGUAAUAAUCUCAAUUUUGGAAAGCCUGUUGCCUACUGCUGUGAUUAGAGUGUUACUGGAAAGUGAGAAUCUCAUUCCUUAGGAGAUUCAGUGAGCAUGAGGUAAGCUGUGGCAGCUCCAGAUUUUGUCAGAGACCUUUCCAGACAAAACCACCUUUGAGUGUGGCAGCACAGCUGAUUUGGUUUUAAACCAGAAAUAUCUGGGUUUGUCCAACUUGUGUUCUCUGUGAGAACCUUGAGAGCACCAGGAGGGAAAGGUCUCUCCAAAGUGUGAGGCUGCUCUUCUGAAGCACUCGGGUGUGCCAAGUGCUCGAUGAUCUCUGUGCUGCUUCCAGCACCCACUCCACACCAAGAAGAUGCCACACUUGGGGUUGAGGUUUAACAGAAAUGUUCACGUGAAGAGCAGCGUGUAGAAAUGUAGAAUUUGGCCCUAAGUGUGGGAGUUCAUUGCUCAGGACAUUUCUUUACCAUGGGUGUGACUCCUGGCAGCGCUCCCGCCACUCCAGGGUGAACUUGUCCCAGGAUUGCCAUUCAUCCAAAGGCACUGGCUUUUACAACGUGGAUUUAUGGACACUGGGAAAUCAGUCUGCUGUGCACUGCAUAUUCCUAUUUUCUGGGUUUUUCCAAGGCUUGGUUUUCAAUCUGUAGCUGAGGCUCUCUGUGAAUUUAUGUAUGUAUGUAUUUGUGUGCACACAAUUAUGUAUUUAUGCUGUACACAGUACAACAGAGUUUUUUCUCCAUGGAAGAAAUGCAAAUCGACCCAGGAUGUAGCUCACAACAGCUCUUUGUGCAAAAAUUCCUAUUUUUUAAUUCUGAUGUGAAUGGAAAUAUUUUUUCCCAGUUCUUGAAAUAUUUCUGGUUUGAUCGGGAAGUGGAAGAAUUGGAAUGUGCUUGGAAAGAACCUUUGAGUGGGAAUGAGUAAAGGCCCAGUUCUGCUCCCUUGGAAUCCAAUGUUGAAACAUCACAUUAUGCUCAGUUUUAGUCAACAGACUUGAAUGAAGAGCAAAAUCUGAUCUCAGAAAAUUACAACAUCUAUUAAGUGGAUUCAAGUAUUUUGAGACAAGUACUCCAUGGGACUGUUUCAGAAUAAAAUGAGUAAUGGUACAGAGAAAAUGGGUUUGCCAUCAAUUCUAUAAUUCUCUGAUUGACCUCACUCACAAAUUAACCAAACAAUCUUUAAGGCUUUUGAUUUGAAAGACAAAUUUGUUUAGCUCUAAUGUCAUUGGUGACCAACUAGCCAAGAUUACUAAUGCAACAAUUGCAAAUUAUUUGGAAAUACUUUAUUAGGAUUAUCUUUUUCUUUGAGAGCAAGAAUUAUGAAGGUCCCUUCCAACCCAGGGCAUCUGUGUUUCUGUAGCUGACAGGCACUGACAACUGUGUUUCCUAGAACUUCUUUAAAAUGUCUUUUCCUUGUUCCUUACAGUUUCCCAGUUGUAAAAUUCUGUCAUUAUCUCAGUUUUGUUCAGGUUUUUGGGGCAGUUUGGCAGAUUUCUAUGAAAGCAUUGACUUUGCUCAGAGAGCAAAGCACAGAGUUCCCCAGGAGGGUGCUGGGGUGACACUUGCAGGUUAUUUUUGAUCCCUGUGGAAGUGUUUGGAAACACUUCCCUGUGGUGGCAUUUUCUCUGCUAAAUUGGUCAGUAAUUUGGUGUUUCUCAGGAUAGUGUCAGAUGGAUCAUUUUUGUGGGAAAAUGAGAGGAAAAGGCUGAAAAAGGAGAGCUGCAGGAAUGCUCUGUCCCACAUUCCUGCUGGGUGGUCUCUGUAGGGUGGGUGGUGCAUCAAUCCUGAUAUUUCUGAAUGUUAAGGGUGUGGAUCUGUUUGGUUUAUUUUAAUUAGAGGUGUGGACAUGCAAUAGUCAGCUUUAGGGUGCCUUAAAUAGAAGAACAGAUACUAGCAGAGGGCAGAGCAUAUAUGAAAUAUUCAUGACCAAGUCCUAUGUACUGUGUCCUGAAUCUUUAAUGUCCAUUUACUUUUCCUAACAUCUUUAUUUUUCCACUAGAAUUUUCUAAAUCUCUCAAGAAUAUCCUAUAUAUUCUGUGAAUCCUGAAGAGGUAUUUCAGGUUAGCCAAGGAAUGACUCUCUCUGUACUUGGGAAUUCCAACAAAUGCCACUGCCUGUGGAGGAAUAUCCUGCCCAUGGCAUGUGGCACAGCAAUUUGGCUGGUCCCUGGAGCAUGCUGCCAGGGAGGGAGGUUCUCUGCAGUGCUCAGAUUUUGCAGUAGGAAUUCCUGAAUUGUGAUAAAUCACUUUUUUGGAAUGGGAAAGACUUCAUUUGUGCUGCUGCUUCUGGUGGCACUGCCAUCCCUGCUGGCGGUGGUGGCACCCAGCACCAUUCCUGAGGAGGGGCUCCUGUGACAGAUACUCUGAAAACCAACCAAACAACCAAAACAAAAAACAAAAAACAAAACAAAAAAAAAAAAAAAAAAAAAAAAAAAAAAGAAGCUGAAGAAAGUUUUGGGCCUUUUUGACCUACAGGGACCUUAUCUGAAGUUAAGGACAUUCCCCAAAUAUUACAGUGGCAUUAAUAUACUAUUUAUAAGGGUUUUAUGCAUUUUUUUUCUUGCUUUCCUUUGCUGUUCCAGAGACAGUAGAUGGGUUACACCUUAAGGAAUUACAGGAAUGUAUUUGUUGAUCAUUUUUUCUGGCUGUACAUGUUUAAAACUAAGUCAGUUCCAGCUGUAACUGUCCUAAACUGAGUUUUAUAGAAAGAUACAUAAACCUUUGGUUCUCUACUUGGUCUCUAAAUUAUUUUAUGUGCUUAUAUAUAUAUAUAUAAAAUGUCCAUUAUCUAAAUAACCCUUGAACCAAAGUCUGUCUUUGAACUUUGGAGGCUUUGGCUUUGCAAAUCAAAGUUAAUUAAUGGGUUGGAUUGUGGGUUUGUUGUUUUUUAUUUUUUAUUAUUCUGUGAUUAUUUAGUUUGAUUUUAUCACUGGUAUGACCAGAGAUAGAGGAACAUAGCAGUGUGAAAAUUCUCAUAACAGCACUUCAAUUAUUGUGUUUCUUUGGAGAGUGAAGGAGCUCUGCUCCAAAGAGUGUAGGAACUGCUGCUCAGAGCUGAAAUAUCUUCCCUCUGCUGUGCCCUGGGAGUGCCCAGCACAGUCUGGCUCAAUGGCAAAUGCUAGAAAUGCCCAUUAGUGAGAUUUCAGGGUUGGAGGGGCCAGCCAAGCUGCUUCACCUGACAAAUCCAGUCCUUGUGGUCCUGCACUACUAGAGGCACCAGCCCCAUGUGUGCUGGGAGCAAUGAGAAAAUUCACAUUGCCCUGCUUUGGUGAAAAAUGAGCUUUACAAAAACCAGGCAUUGGUAAUGGAUGCUGGCCAGUUAAGUUUGUCUCUUUUAGGAUGCAAAUCCAGGUUUCUCUGGUGCUGUUAAACUGCCAUGCAAGGGCAGGACUGACCAGUUGUCCCCAAAGCACUGCUGGAAUAAAUCUGUAGCUAAAUGCAUUCUUCUUAAUCAGAGAGACAUUUCCUGUGGCAUCACUUCUGUUAUGUUUUCUUGCAGUGAUCCAAAAACCUGGCUGCUUUGGAAAGUGGAUAGUAUUGGCAAGCAAAGAAAUAUGGCAAGUAAAAAGUCUUUUUUAGAACCAGUUGAUGUCAGUGUUUUCUUCAAAAAAAAAGGGCAAGUGACAGCCCUGAGGGGUCCUGAGGAGGAGUCAAGGCACUUGUUAAGGCAGAGAGUAAUUGUUCAGUCCAUGCUUAAUUCUCCCCUUCAGUUUUAAACCAAUGAAGAGUUGUGGAUGGAUCCAGUUUAUGUAGAUAAAUACAUAUAUAUGUAUUCCUCCUGUUAGCAGUGGGGGGCUGUGACACUGCAGCCAGGGAGGCUGAUGGAAGGAAUGGCAAUGGUUAAGCUGUGACAAGUGGGAAUUUUGCCAAGGCUGGCAGUGAGAAUGGCACCUGAAAGUCAAAUGCCUCUCGCUGGCUUCGAGACAGCCAAUAACUACAUGAAAUUCCUGUUGCAAACCUUUGUUUUAGAGCAGGCAGCAAACAGCUCCCACACCUUAUUUUCCUGCUUUCAGCCCAAGCUCUCACCAUCCUGCAGGUGACUGCCAUCCCCAAAUUUUAUUUUACCUGUCUGCAUGCACAGAUCCCCCUUGGGCUGAGCACACACCCUGACCCCUCUGUUUGUGCAUGGGGUGGAGACCAGCUGAAAACACAAUUCUCUCUGUUGGGUUUUUCUGUAGAGUGGUGUAUUGCACCUCGAGAGCUCCCUGUGCCCCGCCUGGAGCGCCCUCAGCUCGCUGGCAGCCUGGCCAGCUUGGCCGUGGUGGUGUCCCAGGGUUUGCCAACCAGAGUCUGUCCAAGCCUUCAGAGCACAAAGCCCUGAUGAGAAGCAUCUCUAGCAGGUACGCAUCAGGGAGAAGGAGGAGACCUUCCUAAAAUUAGUUGCUGUCAGCUCCAAGCAGGAGCGGUGCCUCGUGUGUCACGGAAACGCUGAGUAUGUGCUGUGCGUACUGCGUGGAUAUCUGAGCGUGUACCUAUAAUUACACUAUUGAAGUGUAAAAUUCGAGCUUUGCAAACUUCUGGGAGGUUCAGGAACGUGGCUUGCUUUGGGCUGUAAUUAAAAUAUGGGCAUUUUGGUUUAAAAAUAGCUCCUUUCCGACCUACAUUCCCGAUGUAGGUCAGUGGAGGCACUUCUCAGACAUAUUAGCAUUUUGGACACUUAAUCUUAGCAGCAUAUUGCAUCUCCUAGAAUAGGUUAGGAGAGGCAAGGCAGGAGGAACUGCUGCAUCUCCAGUCACCCAGAGAGGUUGCCAAGUUUCUCAGGCACCAGAGAGGCAGAAUAAUGAGGAUUAUAUUUAAUUCUGGGCUGGAGAGACAACUGUGGGGUGUUGAGCAGAGGCAGCUCGGAUCAUCUUGGCUCUGUGGGGGAGGGAGAAUUUAUAACUCUAGCUGGCUCCAAAGCAAGCUGUGUGUGCAUUUGCGUGUGUAUGUAUAUUUAUAUAUAUGUAUAUACAAAUCUGGAUGUGUAUAUAACACCCUGUGUACAUAUGUAUGUAUGUAUGUAUAUGCCUACAGUGUACAAAAUGUGUAUCUAUAGAAAUGUAUACAUUUAUAUGAAUUUCUAUUUCUCUAUAUAAAUAGUCAUGCAACUAGGGGAAGUCACAUUUCCACGGCGUGACCUUUUCUGUAACACUCCCCCAAAAAGAAGCUGCUUCCAUUAAUGUCAUAUUGGCACAAAUGACUUAAAUUUUCUUUUCUGUUUCAAAAGGAGUGGUGCUUAGUGCCUGAGCACAAGCCUGGAAGGUUUUUACUCUUCCAGAGGACUUCCAGUAAAUCAUGAGUUGCUCCAGAGCUGUUUCACAUUUGUGAAAUAAAGUGGUGGCCAAAAUGACUCAGGGUUGGUUUUAUAGGCAAAGGAAAGGGGUUGUUGAGUGUGCAUUGGAAACCUCUGCCAUGUUCUCAGAGUUCUGAUGGUGAAAUACCUGCACUGCUAAUUACUCUGGCUGCUGUUAAUUUCCCAGCAACUGGCUUGAACAGGGAAAGAAAAAUUCCCUUCUCUAAAGUUACGUUAUCUGAAGUUUGAUUAUGUUGCCUCAGUGAUGUAUGGAUUUCCAUUUAGGGUCAGGAUGUUGGGCUGUAAAUCAAGAAUCUGAGCUCAGUGAACAUCUAGUUUGGGAUGUGUCUUUUCUGUUCUAAUUGAUUUAAAAUAAUUUCAAUUCAUCAUCAGAACAAGCUAUACCUUAAUUCAUGAUAAGCUCAAAGAAUUUCUCAUUCAUAUCAGGGUGAAUUUUGCACUUGACUUCGGUGGGGUUGAACGAGGUCAGAGCGUUUCAUUCAGCACUGGCAUAAAAAACAAUCUUGUAGUUGUGCAACUAUUAAUUCAAAUUGUAAUUUUGUAAUAAAAGCAGCCUAAAAAUGA